AUGUUCAUCUCCAUAUUUGGAGAAAGUGGUGUUGGAAAGAACACACUGGGAAGGGCUCUUUUCGAAAAAUUUGGAAAUAAAAAGGAGCUGGGAACUUACGGUUUUUUUGCCGCUGUGGAACCUGAUGACCUAGAAGAUGUUCUCCAUACAAUGUACAGACUAGUACCAAGUGAAACAGCUGAUUGUGGUCGGCCAGUGGAAGCCACUAAUAUGGCUGGAGAAAUAUGUCGCUUCCUGGCCAAUAGGAAGUACCUGAUUGUUCUUUCUGGCAUAUCCUCAAGAACAAUGCUCAACUGUCUAAGAAUGUGCCUGCCAGAUGAUGAGAAAGGUAGCAGUGUGGUGCUGUUAUUGGACACUGAGUGCGAAGAAGUAGCAUGGCAUGCUAAUAGCUUAAAUGAAGAUGGCGUCAAUAGAAUUCACAUGGUUACCCGUAUGGAUGAGGAAAAAACUGGACAGUUGUUCCGUUCGAGGGCUUUCAGGAAAGAAGUAUCAGACAGAAAGGAAAACAUGACCAAAUAUGACAAAAUGGAGAAGCCGCUCCAGUGGCAAGCACUCCUCCAAGAGCUUUUGCCUGGACCGGGAAUGGAAGAAGCCAAGAACGGUGAGAAGGGCGUCGAUUGGCAGAUGAGUGCUGCAGGACAAUCUAAUGUGGCCACCAGCACAUCUAUGGAGAGGAUCUUCUGGGCGAGUUAUGAAGACCUCCCCAGUGACCUCAAAUCGUGCUUCCUCUACUUGGCCAUUCUCGCAAAAAGUGGAGUGAUGGAUGUGGAAGUGAUUGUUCGGAUGUGGAUUGGCGAGGGCUUCAUCAAGCCGCACAAGGGAAAUACUAUGGAGGAGUUGGGUCACAAGUACCUCAAGGAACUGGCCCUGAGAUGCCUUGUUGGCAUAGAAUCGAGGAAUAACGAGGAUGACAUUAGGGACGUCAAGGUCCACAAGAGCCUAAUUGCUUUCCUGCAGUUGGAGGCUCGUGAAGCUGGCUUUAUUGAGAUUCACGACGUACAUGAUGCCUUUGUGGCACCGUCGGUGCGCCGCCUCUGUUUUGAUAUCUACGGAGGCAGAUACACCACAUUCAUCAGCAAGUUCACUAAGCUACGCUCCUUCAACUCUCUCCCAAUGAUGCAUCUCCUUGUCCGCUUGCUGCUGGAAGGCGAUGUGGUUCCUGCAGGAUGCGUUUUCACUGCACCGGGCCUUCACUAUCUUGAAGAGAUAACGCUGGAUGGAAUCCUGUCGUUUCCAGAUGGACCGCUGAAUAAUGUUUACAAGCUCCGACCGAAUUUCCGUAUGUUCAACAGGGAAGGUGUUGAUAAGAUGCCCCCAGAGAUCAGAGCGCAACUGGGCCUGGGACCGAGAUAA
rnacentral:rRNA from 1 species